rnacentral:rRNA from 1 species
AUGGAUAGCUUAUUUGCUUCGUUGUAUAUACAUUGUAGUUUCAAUGAUGAGGCAUAUAUGUCAACUAUGGGUGUUGGCUCCAACCAUUCUCAUUGGUCUCAAACCAAUGAGAUGCAUUUCGAUGAUCAUGAGUUUGAGGUGGACAAGGAUGGUGAGGGCAUCGUCAAUGCACCGAAAGGAAGAGGGGGCAACUACAUCAUGGAAGAAGACAUCUUGCUAUGCAAUAAUUGGUUGGAAGUGUUGAGGGAUCCCUUCGUUGGGUGGAUCAAAGUAGAGAUGCAUAUUGGCUCCGGAUGA